AGAGUUUGAUCAUGGCUCAGGAUGAACGCUAGCGGCAGGCUUAAUACAUGCAAGUCGAGGGGCAGCAUGGUGUAGCAAUACACUGAUGGCGACCGGCAAACGGGUGCGGAACACGUACAGAACCUCCCUCCAAGUGGUGAAUAGCCUUCCGAAAGGAAGAUUAAUACACCGUAAUAUUAUAGAGUGGCAUCACCUUAUAAUUAUAGAUUUAUCGCUUAGAGAUGGCUGUGCGGCUGAUUAGGUAGUUGGCGGGGUAAUAGCCCACCAAGCCUGCGAUCAGUAACUGGUGUGAGAGCACGACCAGUCACACGGGCACUGAGACACGGGCCCGACUCCUACGGGAGGCAGCAGUAAGGAAUAUUGGGCAAUGGACGAGAGUCUGACCCAGCCAUGCCGCGUGAAGGAUGAAGGUCCUCAGGAUUGUAAACUUCUUUUAUCUGGGACGAAAAAGGGAUAUUCUUAUCCACUUGACGGUACCAGAGGAAUAAGCACCGGCUAACUCCGUGCCAGCAGCCGCGGUAAUACGGAGGGUGCAAGCGUUAUCCGGAUUUACUGGGUUUAAAGGGUGCGUAGGCGGGUAGGUAAGUCAGUGGUGAAAUCUUCGAGCUUAACUCGGAAAUUGCCGUUGAUACUAUUUAUCUUGAAUAUCGUUGAGGUUUGCGGAAUAUGUCAUGUAGCGGUGAAAUGCUUAGAGAUGACAUAGAACACCUAUUGCGAAGGCAGCAGGCUAAACGAACAUUGACGCUGAGGCACGAAAGCGUGGGGAUCAAACAGGAUUAGAUACCCUAGUAGUCC
rnacentral:rRNA from 1 species